UCGGGAAUUUUGGGCAAUGGGCGAAAGCCUGACCCAGCAACGCCGCGUGAAGGAUGAAGUAUUUCGGUAUGUAAACUUCGUAAGAAUAGGAAGAAUAAAAUGACGGUACUAUUUGUAAAGGUCCGGCUAACUACGUGCCAGCAGCCGCGGUAAUACGUAGGGACCAAGCGUUGUUCGGAUUUACUGGGCGUAAAGGGUGCGUAGGUGGUUAGUUAAGUUAUCUGUGAAAUCCCCGGGCUUAACCUGGGCAGGUCAGAUAAAACUGAAUAACUCGAGUAUGGGAGAGGGUAGUGGAAUUUCCGGUGUAGCGGUGAAAUGCAUAGAUAUCGUCAAGAACACCGAUAGCGAAGGCAGCUUACCAAGCUGUAACUGACACUGAGGCACGAAAGUGUGGGGAUCAAACAGGAUUAGAUACCCAUGUAGUCCCUGAGCGGGC
rnacentral:rRNA from 1 species